CCUACGGGCGGCAGCAGUGGGGAAUAUUGGACAAUGGGGGCAACCCUGAUCCAGCCAUGCCGCGUGUGUGAAGAAGGCCCUCGGGUUGUAAAGCACUUUCAGUGAGGAAGAACGCCUGGUGGUUAAUACCCAUCAGGAAAGACAUCACUCACAGAAGAAGCACCGGCUAACUCCGUGCCAGCAGCCGCGGUAAUACGGAGGGUGCGAGCGUUAAUCGGAAUUACUGGGCGUAAAGCGCGCGUAGGUGGCUUGAUAAGCCGGUUGUGAAAGCCCCGGGCUCAAACUGGGAACGGCAUCCGGAACUGUCAAGCUAGAGUGCAGGAGAGGAAGGUAGAAUUCCCGGUGUAGCGGUGAAAUGCGUAGAGAUCGGGAGGAAUACCAGUGGCGAAGGCGGCCUUCUGGACUGACACUGACACUGAGGUGCGAAAGCGUGGGUAGCAAACAGGAUUAGAUACUCCGGUAGUC
rnacentral:rRNA from 1 species